GUGGGGUAUUUAUACUGCCCUGGCAUUUUAGGGGCCCUAAAGCGUGAGAAGAAGUCUGGAAUAUAAUUCUCUAAAAAUUUUUACGCAUUUGGAUUCCGUGAGGGGUAUGGUGAGUUCAUGUGAGAUUUUAUUUUUUGACACAAGUUAGUGGAAUAUGAGACUUUGUAAGAAAAAA